rnacentral:rRNA from 1 species
ACGAACGCUGGCGGCGUGCCUAAUACAUGCAAGUCGAGCGAACCAAUGGGAGCUUGCUCCCUGAGGUUAGCGGCGGACGGGUGAGUAACACGUGGGUAACCUGCCUGUAAGACUGGGAUAACUUCGGGAAACCGGAGCUAAUACCGGAUACUUUCUUUUCUCGCAUGAGAAGAGAUGGAAAGAUGGUUCUGCUAUCACUUACAGAUGGACCCGCGGCGCAUUAGCUAGUUGGUGAGGUAACGGCUCACCAAGGCGACGAUGCGUAGCCGACCUGAGAGGGUGAUCGGCCACACUGGGACUGAGACACGGCCCAGACUCCUACGGGAGGCAGCAGUAGGGAAUCUUCCGCAAUGGACGAAAGUCUGACGGAGCAACGCCGCGUGAGCGAAGAAGGCCUUCGGGUCGUAAAGCUCUGUUGUUAGGGAAGAACGAGUACGAGAGUAACUGCUCGUACCUUGACGGUACCUAA